GCGUCCUUGGUGUAGCGGUUACACGCAUCCUAUUUGUUCUCAAUUCACGCAGGGCCUUUAGGAUGAGUCCGGGGUUCGACUCCCCGAGCGCGCA